AGCGGCGGAUGGGUGAGUAACACGUGGGGAACCUGCCCCUAAGUCUGGGAUACCAUUUGGAAACAGGUGCUAAUACCGGAUAAUAAAGCAGAUCGCAUGAUCAGCUUUUGAAAGGCGGCGUAAGCUGUCGCUAAGGGAUGGCCCCGCGGUGCAUUAGCUAGUUGGUAAGGUAACGGCUUACCAAGGCGACGAUGCAUAGCCGAGUUGAGAGACUGAUCGGCCACAUUGGGACUGAGACACGGCCCAAACUCCUACGGGAGGCAGCAGUAGGGAAUCUUCCACAAUGGACGCAAGUCUGAUGGAGCAACGCCGCGUGAGUGAAGAAGGUUUUCGGAUCGUAAAGCUCUGUUGUUGGUGAAGAAGGAUAGAGGUAGUAACUGGCCUUUAUUUGACGGUAAUCAACCAGAAAGUCACGGCUAACUACGUGCCAGCAGCCGCGGUAAUACGUAGGUGGCAAGCGUUGUCCGGAUUUAUUGGGCGUAGAGCAAGCGCAGGCGGAAAGAUAAGUCUAAUGUGAAAGCCCUCGGCUUAACCGAGGAACUGCAUCGGAAACUGUUUUUCUUGAGUGCAGAAGAGGAGAGUGGAACUCCAUGUGUAGCGGUGGAAUGCGUAGAUAUAUGGAAGAACACCAGUGGCGAAAGGCGGCUCUCUGGUCUGCAACUGACGCUGAGGCUCGAAAGCAUGGGUAGCGAACAGGAUUAGAUACCCUGGGUAGUCCAUGCCGUAACGAUGAGUGCUAAGUGU
rnacentral:rRNA from 1 species